GGCCGUGUGGCGAAAUGGCAUCGCGUCUGACUACGAUUUCGGAAUCAGGAGAUUGCAGGUUCGACCCCUGUCUCGGUCA